rnacentral:rRNA from 1 species
AGAGAGAGACAUGCGCGCAUAUCAAUAAGCGGAGGAAAAGAAACUAACAAGGAUUCCCCUAGUAACGGCGAGUGAAGCGGGAAGAGCUCAAAUUUGAAAUCUUAAAGGGUUUCCCUUACGAAUUGUAGUUUAAAGAAGUGUUUUCUGUUGAGGUUUUGGUAAAAGUUCUUUGGAAUAGGACAUCAUAGAGGGUGAGAAUCCCGUAUUUGACCUUUACUUUCAACUUUGUGAUACACUUUCAAAGAGUCGGAUUGUUUGGGAAUGCAGUCCAAAAUGGGUGGUAAAUUUCAUCUAAAGCUAAAUAUUGGCGAGAGACCGAUAGCGAACAAGUACCGUGAGGGAAAGAUGAAAAGAACUUUGAAAAGAGAGUUAAACAGUACGUGAAAUUGUCAAAAGGGAAGCGUUUGACACCAGUGUUGUUUUUCUGAAAAUCAAUUAAAGAACUGUUUAUGCUAAGUUGUUUAGACUUUAUCAGCUAACUGUUUAGUUUUGAGCUUUUCUUUAAUGCACUUUUCAGUUAACAAGUCAACAUCAAUUUCUUUUGCUGUAAAAAAGCUUGAGGAAGGUGGCUUGAGAUUCGUCUUAAGUGUUUAUAGCCUCUUGCCUAUGCAGUCGGAGAGAUUGAGGUCUGCAGCGUAGAUCCUUCGGGGCUAAAUGCAUUUGUGCUAAGUUAUAGCAUUUUAUAGACAACUUGUUGACUAUGAUUUGUCUUGUAGCUUACUCGCUUAUGUUAUUUUACCUACGCUUAGGAUGUUGAAGACUCUACAGAGAUA